AUUGAACGCUGGCGGCAUGCCUUACACAUGCAAGUCGAACGGCAGCACGGGUGCUUGCACCUGGUGGCGAGUGGCGAACGGGUGAGUAAUACAUCGGAACGUACCUUAUCGUGGGGGAUAACGCAGCGAAAGCUGUGCUAAUACCGCAUACGCCCUGAGGGGGAAAGCGGGGGAUCGCAAGACCUCGCGCGAUUAGAGCGGCCGAUGCCUGAUUAGCUUGUUGGUGGGGUAAAAGCCCACCAAGGCGACGAUCAGUAGCUGGUCUGAGAGGACGAUCAGCCACACUGGGACUGAGACACGGCCCAGACUCCUACGGGAGGCAGCAGUGGGGAAUUUUGGACAAUGGGGGCAACCCUGAUCCAGCAAUGCCGCGUGAGUGAAGAAGGCCUUCGGGUUGUAAAGCUCUUUUGUCAGGGAAGAAAACUUUAGUAAUAACACUAUUAAAGCAUGACGGUAACUGAAGAAUAAGGACCGGCUAACUACGUGCCAGCAGCCGCGGUAA
rnacentral:rRNA from 1 species